UACGGAGGGUGCGAGCGUUGUCCGGAAUCACUGGGCGUAAAGGGCGCGUAGGCGGCCUGAUAAGUAGGGGGUGAAAUCCUGCGGCUUAACCGCAGGGCUGCCUUCUAAACUGUCAGGCUAGAGCACGGUAGAGGCAGAUGGAAUUCCCGGUGUAGCGGUGGAAUGCGUAGAGAUCGGGAAGAACAUCAGUGGCGAAGGCGGUCUGCUGGGCCGUUGCUGACGCUGAGGCGCGAAAGCGUGGGGAGCGAACAGG
rnacentral:rRNA from 1 species